UGCCCAGCAACUCCUAUCCCUACCUCAUCGCGGUACUAACCAGGGUACGAGUAACCUUAGAUAAAAUCGGGUAACGAACCCCGGUGGGUACUUUGGUCGUAUGCUGACAGGGAAAG
rnacentral:ribozyme from 1 species